GAUGAACGCUAGCUACAGGCUUAACACAUGCAAGUCGAGGGGUAACGAGAGGAAAGCUUGCUUUCCUUGUCGACGACCGGCGCACGGGUGAGUAACGCGUAUCCAACCUGCCCCCAACUAGGGAAUAACCUUGCGAAAGUAAGACUAAUACCCUAUAAUUUCUUCAGAUGACAUCUGACGAGGAAUAAAGAUUUAUCGGUUGUGGAUGGGGAUGCGUCUGAUUAGCUUGUUGGCGGGGUAACGGCCCACCAAGGCAACGAUCAGUAGGGGUUCUGAGAGGGAGGUCCCCCACAUUGGGACUGAGACACGGUCCAAACUCCUACGGGAGGAAGCAGUGAGGAAUAUUGGUCAAUGGGCGGAAGCCUGAACCAGCCAAGUAGCGUGCAGGAUGACGGCCCUAUGGGUUGUAAACUGCUUUUAUACAGGAAUAAAGUUAGCCACGUGAGGUUAUUUGUAGGUACUGUAUGAAUAAGGACCGGCUAAUUCCGUGCCGGCCGCCGCAGUAA
rnacentral:rRNA from 1 species